rnacentral:piRNA from 2 species
GAAUGAAUUCCGCGACGAGGCGUGC